rnacentral:rRNA from 1 species
GUCGGUGGCCUAUAGCAGCAGGGAAACGCCCGGUACCCAUUCCGAACCCGGAAGCUAAGCCUGCUAACG